rnacentral:rRNA from 1 species
UACGAAGGACCCAAGCGUUAUCCGGAUUUAUUGGGUUUAAAGGGUGCGUAGGCGGGUUAUUAAGUCAGUGGUGAAAGCCUGCAGCUUAACUGCAGAACUGCCAUUGAUACUGAUGAUCUUGAGUAUGAUUGAGGUGGGCGGAAUGUGUAAUGUAGCGGUGAAAUGCUUAGAUAUGACACAGAACACCGAUUGCGAAGGCAGCUCACUAAGCCAUAACUGACGCUGAUGCACGAAAGCGUGGGGAUCAAACAGG